GAUGAAGAACGCAGCGAAAUGCGAUAAGUAAUGUGAAUUGCAGAAUUCAGUGAAUCAUCGAAUCUUUGAACGCACAUUGCGCCCAUUAGUAUUCUAGUGGGCAUGCCUGUUCGAGCGUCAUUAAGUCCACUUAAGCCCUGCUUAGUGUUGGGAGACUGCUCCAGCGGUGCUACCCUGUAGCUACCCUGCAGCUCCUCAAAGACAGCGGCGGAGUUGUGGUAUCCUCUGAGCUUAGUAUCUUGUUCUAGCUUUCGAGUACACCACUUCCCCUGCCGUAAAACCCUUAAUUUUUAAUGGUUGACCUCGGAUCAGGUAGGAAUACCGCUGAACUUAAGCAUAUCAAUAAGCGGAGGA
rnacentral:misc_RNA from 1 species